rnacentral:tRNA from 1 species
GGGCCUAUAGCUCAAUUGGCAGAGCAGCGGACUUUUAAUCCGCGGGUUGUGGGUUCGAUUCCCACUGGGCCCACCU